UCCCUGAUAGCUCAGUUGGUAAAGAAUCUGCCUGCAAUGCAGGAGACCCUGGUUCGAUUCCUGGGUCGGGAA
rfam:Ovis aries breed Texel chromosome 11, whole genome shotgun sequence.